rnacentral:rRNA from 1 species
CCCUUAGAUGUUCUGGGCCGCACGCGCGCUACACUGAUGCAUUCAACGAGUUUCUUCCUGGUCCGAGAGGAAUGGGUAACCUUUUGAAAGUGCAUCGUGAUAGGGAUAGACUAUUGCAAUUAUUGGUCUUCAACGAGGAAUUCCUAGUAGACGUAGUUCAUCAGACUGCAUCGAUUACGUCCCUGCCCUUUGUACACACCGCCCGACGCUCCUACCGAUUGAAUGCUCAGGUGAGCCAUUCGGACUUUCAUCAUGCUGGUUUCCAGUUUUGAUGAAGGAAAGUCUUGCGAACCUUAUCAUUUAGAGGAAGGAGAAGUCGUAACA